GGAGUUGUAGCUCAGUGGUAGAGCGCUUGCCUCUCACAUGUGAGGCCCUGGGUUCGAUCCUCAGCACCA
rnacentral:tRNA from 1 species